CCUACGGGUGGCAGCAGUGAGGAAUAUUGGUCAAUGGGCGGAAGCCUGAACCAGCCAAGUCGCGUGAGGGAUUAAGGCCCUACGGGUCGUAAACCUCUUUUGCCGGGGAGCAGGGGUCCGGACGUGUCCGGGCCGGGAGAGUACCCGGAGAAAAAGCAUCGGCUAACUCCGUGCCAGCAGCCGCGGUAAUACGGAGGAUGCGAGCGUUAUCCGGAUUUAUUGGGUUUAAAGGGUGCGUAGGCGGGCUUUUAAGUCAGCGGUAAAAUGUCGGGGCUCAACCCCGGCCUGCCGUUGAAACUGGGUGCCUUGAGUGGGCGAGAAGAAGGCGGAAUGCGUGGUGUAGCGGUGAAAUGCAUAGAUAUCACGCAGAACCCCGAUUGCGAAGGCAGCCUACCGGCGCCCUACUGACGCUGAGGCACGAAAGCGCGGGGAUCGAACAGGAUUAGAUACCCUAGUAGUC
rnacentral:rRNA from 1 species